rnacentral:lncRNA from 1 species
GUUUAGGGCCAGCAGAGAGGGAAGCAUCAGUUUAAGAUCCUUCUCAGAGCAACAAGAUGGGUUCUUAAGAUUGGCCACAGGGGAAAGAGUCAACUCAGGAUGCUCUCUGCUAUCCAGCAAACGGAGCAAAGAAGUAAGCCAUGCUCAGUGGGGUCACCCUAGAAGGGUAUAGGGAAUUUGGAUCCAUGUCUUGACAAGGGGAAGGAUACAACUCGUGGGAGAGGAGGCAGAGCGCUACAAGAUGGCACUGCAGGGAGAGAAGCAUGACAACAUAAAUGAGGCAGGAAAGAGGAAUGCUGAGAAAACACAGAUUUGAUUUGAUUCAACAAACAUUUGUCCAAUUCUGUGAAAUCAUGAACAAGAUGUGGGAGAAGGGGAGGCAGAAAGGGAAAUAUAGACUAAUUUCUCAAACCCCAGGCACUAGAGCUAGGGGCCUUCAGAACCUGAAGGAGCCAUAUGGACCACAGCUGACUUCACCCAGUGGAAAAUAAGCUUGGCUUUUCUCCAAUCAAGUCCCCAGG